GACGAACCGUGCAAACGUUGUUCGGAAUCACUGGGCUUAAAGGGCGCGUAGGCGGGCAAGCAAGUCCGGGGUGAAAUCUUUCGGCCCAACCGGAAAAGGGCCUUGGAUACUGCUUGUCUGGAGGGAGGUAGGGGCAGACGGAACUUCCGGUGGAGCGGUGAAAUGCGUUGAUAUCAGGAGGAACACCUGCGGUGUAGACGGCUUUCUGGACCAUUGCUGACGCUGAGACACGAAAGCGUGGGUAGCAAACAGG
rnacentral:rRNA from 1 species